ACGUAAGACGUCCAGGAAGGUGCUGAUGGUUUUCGGCUGGGUGAGGGUAGAGAAGGUUUCCAAGGCGCCCUCGGGCCUCGCGGGCUCAGGGCCCACGCAGUUUUCUCUGGUGGCACCGGGGGGCGAUGUGGAGCGUCCCACAGCGCACCUACGCCCCGGAGGCUCAUGGGCGUUGUAGUUCCCAGGGCGGCGAGCUGUGCUGAAACUUAGAGUGGGAGGGCGAGGCCAGGUCUGGAGGCACGGUCCCGUCUUCCUUGAGGCAGAAGCGGCCGUCCCGGCGUGGAUGACUCCGGAACGUCCUGGCCCCGACCCCCCUGGAGUGCGACCCACUGCGCGGGUCUGGCGACAGAUCUGGCGGCCGUGUGUCGCGGCUGGAGGAACAGUGCCUAAUACUUAGGUGAAGAAGUAUUUGUUGAAGGAAGAAUUUGUUGAAUAUUUUCAGUUGAGCGUUCAGUUAAGCAUUGUGUUGGGCUUAAGUUUCUCGAUGUUUUCAAUGGAAGGCAAAUUUUGUAUUCACAUUCAUUUAAAAAAUAAAGGUGAGUCACUGUAACUUUUGAGGCUUCUGCUUUAUUAUCUAUAAAAUGGGGUUGAGUGAAGAGGUUAAACCUGAUGAUCUCUAAGAUUUUUGGUAGCUCUAACUUCUGAAAGGAGAUGGGGUCUUCUGUCAUUGAAAUGGCUUCUGGGGUGACCCACAACUUAGUGGCAAAUUGGGAACUAGGACCCAGAGCCUUGUUGUUGGUGUCACUCGACAGACUUAUUGGAAGCUCAAGGGCAUCCUUCACUCUUCCCCACCAGCCCUGGCAGUGUCUCCUCAGAAAUCUUUCUGGACAUUCUCCUUGGAACCAACCGCACUGCACUGCCUUGGCCAGGAUUAUGAAGCUGGUAGAAUGUAAGCUUGGAAUUCUGGUGGCCAUCUUGCUAUCUAUGAGGGGAAAACCUGCCUGAGAAGGAAGACAGUCCAGAGGAAAGCAGAGCUAAGAGACAGCAAGUUCAGAUGGACAUCGUUUGAGCCUGUGGCUCCACAGCCAUGCCUGACAUCAUUCUACCUCUGAUUUUUAAAUUCUGUAAACCAAUAAACUCCCCCUCUUUUCAUGUUUAAACUACCUUAAACGGGGUGGGGGGGUGUUCCUAUUACUUGUAACUGAAAGCAUCCUGAGUAUUACAUCCCCUGUUCCUAAGGAGGAAGAAGUGUUUUCCCUUUCAUAUUAAUACCUUGGCUUAACCUGGGCACUGGAUCCAUCCUUCCCACCUUCCCCAAACUUCACUCCUUCAAUUACCAUCCUUUCUACUGGCUCCUUUCCCCUAGGACUUCAGAUAUAAUCAGGUUUCCCUCAGGAUUGAAACAAACAAGCAAACCUUUCCACCCUCUAAAAUUGCAGCCCUCCAUAUCUCUCUCCUUCCCUUUUUGGCCAAACUGUAGCGCAGCUCUCAGCAUUCCUCCUCCCACUUGUUCACCUUCCAUUCAUUCCUCAGUCCACUACCAUUGGCUUCUGCUUCCUUUUCACUUCCCUAAAGAUACUCUCAACAAAGUCACCAAGCAAUCUAAGUCAGUGUAUUCUAUAGGAGACAAUGGCAGUGCCCAGUACCAUGGAUCCCUCUUUAUCAUUUGUGUGUGAAGUGUUUGCCCAAUUCCU